GGGACCAAGGGAGCAGGCCAAACCCAACAGAAGCUCACUGCCAAGCCUUCAGAGCUCGCAAGGAUGCUUUGCAAGAAUCUGGGGUGCAGUCUGUGAAGUGUCACUGAGUCGAGACCACUUCCUGUCCCUUCUCUAUCCAGAUGGCACAGGCCUUAUGAAGGACCUGGUUCAGUACUCCCGUGCAGUUACAGAUCAUCAUCACAGCAGGACGGGUGAUGUCAGUCUCUUUGAAGAUGUCCAAGACCCUGCGUGAAGCUGAAAGGAGGCUGUGUCUGGCAGAAGACACCACACUGAAAUAGAAGAAAUAGACCCUGCCUCUCCCCCACUUCUCCUCAGGUGGGGAGAAAGUUACAGGACAGGCAGCAUCAGCAGAAUGAGCCAUCAACGGAUGCUGAUAGAGCAUUGAUCAAGGCAAUGUAGCCGAGGACAACCCAAGGCUGUGAAGCCAAGCCCACAGAAC
rnacentral:lncRNA from 1 species